UAAACCCUAUCUACCCUCAAUCUCAAUCUUACUCUCUCUUCUUCUUUUCCUCAAACCCAACCAGCCCUAGCCGCCAGCCCCAAUUUUCUUCCUCAAACUCAACCAUCCUUCCUCUAUCCCUCUUUGACGGUGUGCAUGGAGGUCUUCGCGCGCAGGCGAGGUGGGUGGCCGAUGGUCGGAUCACGGCGGCGGGCUCGAUGCAGAGGCAGGGGGCUCGGCUCUCUGACUCCUUCAUACUCCCAUCUCUCGCUUGGGCUGGGCUCCACGACGGCUGGAGGUUCAAGGGCUUGGCAGCGACUGAGGGCUCAGGGGGUGGGCUCGACGGCGAGUGGGGUUCUCCAGGUUGGCUGGGCUCGACGACGCGAGGGUCUCGGGGGUUGGGAUAGACCACGCAAGGACGGGGCUGGCUGGACGGCACAUGGUAGCGUGGGUUCACAGGCUUAAACAUAGCAGGAUUACAAGAAGAACGAAUACAUGGAGGCAGAAAUGCAAUGUUCAAAUGCUUUACAAAGCAUGGAAAGGACGCUUAGCACAGCUUGCAAUGCUACGAAUGCUAAGUUCGACAAUGUUGUGAAGGUAAGCAUUUUCGGUCCUUGAUGGUCUUGUAUCAGAGUAUGAAAAAUCAAGUCAUGGUCCAGGAAAAUGGCAGAAGCUAGCUAUGUUCUUACAAAAAAGUUUGGAAGGUCCACUACUUGAUCUCACCAAGAGAUUAAUUGACCAAGUUGGAUUAGAGAAAAAUACACUUCUGUUAAAAUGUCGGUCAAUCAAAGAUAGGUUGGCGUUACUUAACAAGCAGCUGGAAGCAAGUGAUAAGUCAAAGUCUGAAUAUCUGAAGCGUUAUGAGGAAUCUAUCGAUGAGAAGAAGCAGCUAGCUGAUGAAUAUAUGGCUCGUAUAGCAAACUUACAGAGUGAUUGCAGUUCACUGGGUGAGAGGUAGUUUAGCUUGUUGAAGGCAUUGGAUACCGCCAAGCAAGAAUCUAUGGACUGGCAAAGAAAAUACGAGUAAAUCUGAUGAAAUAUAUUUUGAUUAUGUUUGCUAUAUAAUUUUUGUCUCUAUAAUAUGUAAAUUUGGUUUAUUUUUUGAUUGUUGACCGUUGUUGGUGUAAUAAAUUUAUAAAAUUGUUGAAUAAAAAAGUUUAUAAGUUUAUUUCUUUUA